rnacentral:sRNA from 1 species
CAUCAGCUCCUGCUUCCUGACCUGCUCGAGUUCCAGUCCUGACUUCCUUUGGUGACGAAACAGCAACAUGAAAGUGUAAGCUUAAUAAACCCUUUCCUCCUCAACUUGCUUCUUGGUCAUGAUGUUUGUGCAGGAAUAGAAACCCUGACUAAGACAAUGUGUCACAAGCUUUUGAAGUCAACUUACCUCAUUCCAAAGUUCCGUCAUUUGGCCUCAUUCUUCCUACUUGUUAACAAUAAACAAUUUCUCCCAUGUGUCCUGUUUUAGUUCUAAGACAGUGUGCUUCCAUGCAGCCUGGGCUGUCCUCUGUGCUAGGAUUAUGCACACUCACCACCGUACCUGGCCUUCAGUGGGUAAAGUCUUCUAUCCACUAAGAAUGAUUCAAUUUAAUCAGUGUGAAGACAGCCCAUACGGUUUUCUCUCAUGAUUGCUGAGAGUGUGUUUGCUGUGUUCUCUGUCCCUCUAUCUCCUGCCUGCUUAGGAGAAGCUGACCUAGACCCUCUGACAUGUCUUUUACUCCAAGCAAUGGCUAAUUGCUUGUUGUUGAUGAGAACCCUUAUUGUUCUCAUCAUGGCUAUUCUCCACCUUUCUUCCAAAAUACUCUAGAAGGAUACUCUGGCUUCCAAUAUGACAUUCCUGGAACUCCCCACUUGUCAACCCAGCCCUGAGCUAGAACAGUGAGGAGGUCAUAGCAACAGGAAGGGAUGUAACAAGCAAGGUUAUCUGGGUCACAAGUGUCGUGACCACAAUUCAGUGUGAUGGGAGCCCUCACAAGCUUCUAAGCCGGGAAUGCUGGACCCUCAUUUGUCCUGUGGUGUGCCAUGGAUGCUUCGCUGUUGGAAAUGAGACUGGAAAUCAGAGACAGAAGCCGAUGAACUGUUAGGAGGCUGAAGCACCAACCUCAUUGAACAAUGAUUGUGGCUGCUUCCAGUGCCAUCUCACACACCCACUGGCCUGCUGAACAUAUUCCCUUGACUGUCCCUCAGAUGUCUAAAUGCCAUCAAAUUCCAAGAUGGCUGCUCUCUGAACCGCUGUUCUGCAUGGGGUGGAGGAAUCGCUGUCACUUGAGUUCCCUAGGAUGAUCUCUAGAUUCCUUUUUCUCCACUAAUCCCUAAAUUUAGCCAGCAAGAUGGUACCAAUUCUCCUUCCUGGCCAUAGCUCUUCUAUUAUUCCCUUCUCUUGGUGAUUGCCUUGGCUCUAUUCACAGGACAGUGUCAGAAGUCAUUGAUCUCAUUUUUCCCAUUUCCCAUCCCAGCUCUUCUCCCACCCCAAUCUCUUCUCCAUUGCAUUUCCCUGAACCAUCCUUGUAUACUCACAAUAGCUGAGCUUCUCUGACUCACACUGGGUCAAACCCCACCCACGAAUGUCACAUCUUCCCACGAUGCUACUCUGAAAGUCUACACGAGCGACAGAACAUUUACAGAAAGUUUUAUGGCCAGAAGAUUUCAUCAUAGCCAGCUGAGCCAAUCUUCCCAAAGGUCUCUCCAGUGAGCAGCUGGUCAACCCCAUUUCCCUCCCUCUGCCCUCCAUGCUGACUCAGACAUUGUUGUGAAGACACGCCAUGACCACCACAACUAUGAUGGAAGAAAGCAUUUGGUUGGGGAUGGCUUACAGUUUCAGAGGUGAGGUUCGUGCAUUGCAUCAUGGCAGGGAGCACCGUAGCAGGCAGACAUCAUGCUGGAGAAGUGCUGAGUUCUACAUCUGGAUCAGUAGGCAGCAGGAAGAGACACUGGGCCUGAUUUGGGCUUUUGAAACUUCAAAGCUUAUCCCCAGUAACAGACUUCCUCCUACAAGACCACACCUCCUAAUCCUUCUUAAGUAGUGCCACUCUCUGAUGACCAAGCAUUCAAAUAUAUGAGUCUAAAGGGGGCCAUUCUUAUUCAAACACCGCAUCCAUUGUGACCUGUUUUGCAAAUAUAACCUAACCUAACCUAACAUCUGCUCCUUUCUCAUCUUCUCAGUCCCUAUUCCCAACUCCAGAGGGUGAUGUUUCUAGAAUUUUAGCAUAUUUCCCUACUAAAAAAUUCCCUUGAGAGAUGCUUGAGAGAUGGCUCAGUAGUUAAGAGCAGUUAAGAGCUCUUCCAGAGGACCUGGGUUCGGUUCCCAGCACCCACAUGGCAGGUCACAACUUUCUGUAGCUCCAGUUCCAGGAGGUUCAAUACUCUCAUACAGUCAUAUAUGCAGGAAAAACACUAAAUACACAUGAAAUUAAAAAUAAAGAAAUUUUAAAAAUUUCUAGAUAAGAAAAAACUUUUUAAAGCAGUUUUCUGUUUUGGAGAAAAGGAACAAAUUAUAAGUUGGUUCAGUCAUCUUCUGGCCCCGUCCUGCCCUUUGCUUUCUCCCUACGUAUCAGAACUUAGAAAAGCGCCUACAUCUUCAACAACAAGCUCUGGGCCUCUAUUUUGUGGACUGUGGGUUCCCCAGGACACUUUUUCCUUAUCUUGUUCUUUAGAGCUCCACUCAGAUGCCCUCUCAUGUAGAAAGUCAUCCACUAGCUGGCUCAGUGAAGGCUUGGUGCACUUGUGCUGUGCACUAGUGAGCUCAUGAGCUGUGAUAGAGCAGGAGUGGUGUCAUUCCCACCUAGUCCUCUGUUCUAGAUGCAAGUCAGGCCAUAGAAGAUGGAGUGAUCCAACAAUGACCCAGACAGCAGGUGGCAGUUCACACAGGCAUUCCUGUCUCUAACAGAGCUUAAGUGAUUUUGUGCUUUAAAAUCUUGAACUAUGUCACCGUGAAAGAAAGUACAAUUUAUUCCAGUGUAGACUAUUUUGGAACAUAUCUCAUCAUGCAGAACUGAAAAGCUGGAAGUGACUAGUUGGUGACGAGGAGGAAUAGGGAGCAGCCUGUCUCGGUGAGGCCUAUUCACUUUGCCUGGUAGUGUGUUGGCUGGGAAGGCUUGGACUCAUUUAUUUUGAUAAGAAAACAGUUUCAAAACAUUGGGAUCUGUGCCACAAUUACAUAUUACACUUGUCAUAUAGAAGCAAAAUUAAGAGUCCAGGUCUAGCAAUGGUGAGGUUGAGGAGGCUUCCCACCCCUAUUAUUUAUUUGUGCCUUGGAGUUAAGAUGUAUACUCCAAAAUGGUGUUGAUAAAGAGAGUCAGGUGUCAUUUUGGGGUAUACAAUCUUCAUUCCUUCUAAUUUGCUGCUAAGUAUGGACCAAGGACAUUAAUAACUGUGGAUGUGAACAGUUUCUGUCUCCAUUAGAAACCUCUCUGGGAGAAGAAAAUCUGGGGACAGGAUUCUCAGUAACCUCUUUUCAGAUUUCUCAUCUCCCCAAAUUAUUCAUGCUUUAACUCCUUUCUUGAAUCCUUUGCCUUGCUCAGGUUCAGCCACAUAAUUUGUGAAGCCCUGUGCAAAAAAUUAUUAAGAGCCUCUAGAAUUUAUUAAUAGCCACAGCAGAGCAUUAAAUGAAACAUGGGUCUCUUCUGAACGCUGGACACUGUGUGUCACUCAACUUGAGCUCUGUGGCCAUGAAGCUAGCUCUGCCUUCACUCAUAUCACACAUUCAGUGAAGGAAUUCUCCAUGCUGGGCUCUGUGCUCAGCCCCAGAGAUAAAGCUUUCUAGUAAUAGUAGUGACCUAUCAGUGGUAAUGACAGUGAGGACAAAGCUAGCAGACAUCAUUGAGCACUUACGUGCUAGCGACUGCACUAAGUGUGCUGUAUGUAUCACCUCUAUUGUUCUUCAGGCUGUUCUAAAGUGGGGAGACUUGUUUCAGACCGCCUUAUCUUAUUCAGAGCUAAGAGUAAUGUGGCAGUGGGAGUAGGUUUAGGAAACCAUGAUUGUCCGUCUUGUGAGGCUUUGACUGUGGUUAAGUUUCUAUACACUCUUGUUCUUCAUAAGGGCGUUCCUCCAGCUCUGGCUCCCCAGGUUUCUCUGGAGAAUGCUUUCUAUUUACCAUCCUCUUCUGUUUCCACAAACUCUCUUCCCAGCAUCCUCUGUGAGCCCAUCCUAUCUCAGCUCAUGGCUGCCUCUGUUCCCCUCCCAGAUGGUGUGAUGGCUAUUCCUGGUUGUCAGCUUGACUCUAUCUCGAAUGAACUACAAUCCAGAAAUAGAGGGCACACGUGUGAAUCGGAUCUUGAGGCUGGAAGACACACGCCUUUAAUCCAGAUCUUGAGGCACACCUUUAAUCUGGGCCAUAUCUUCUGCUGGAAGCCUAUAAUAUGGACAAUGGAAGAAGAAGAAAGGUUUUGUUCAGCCUUUGCCUGUUUGCACUCACUUUGCCCACACAUUCGUUCAAGCCUACUUUUUUGGGAUCCCAGUAUAUAUAGACCAGCUGAAAUACCCAGCCUCAAGGGACUGAGGAACUACUAGUUUCUUGGACCUUCCAUUCACAGCUGGCCAUUGUUGGAUUAGUUGGACAGCAGAUUUUCUGUGCUGCCGUGGGAGUUGGGUCAGAACAUUUAUUGGAGACCUCAGGGGUGUACUAGUGCCCUGCCUCGUGUGGACUGCUGACCCUUGGAGGGCAGGGAUAAAGGAGAACGUGGGAGGACUGAGGACAGGUGAGUGAGUCUGAAGACACUGACUUAUGGCUCCCAAGAGCCUUCUAGUCCUGCUGAACUUCUUAGCACACAAUUUCAAACUUGUUCUGAGUGACUUAACCUUGCUUAUCCAUUGUCAUGGUGGAAACCUGUGUAGCCUCCAAAAGCCUGGUGGCAGGGCUUUGGCAGGAGAUGCCAAGUGUUCUAAUCACCAGUGCGAAUUGAAUGAAACAUGGGGACUGAAUGGUUGAAUGGUUAUCCCCUCGGAAUUUAACAGAAAUACCUUUCUGCCUUUAUAAAUGUAGGUGCGUCCUAGGUUCAUGUUUUUGCCUGAUUCUUGAAAGGUGCCUGCUGACUACUGGAACAGGCCUGACUGGGCUGUGUGUGCGUUUUCUUUUAACAGAAUAACUGGUUCUCCGUUGAGAGUUCAUCUUUGUCUAGCUCAGGGAGAGUGGAGUUCUAGGUUCAGAGGUGAGAGAGAAAUCUGGAGAUCUUUUGGGUAUCUGUUUUAGCAUCUGAUGUGAGAGGUCUGGUCAGGAUCCAGAAGAUAGGCUUGUUCUAGGGAGCCCAGGGUAAUGUCUUACAACAGUCCUGAAGGGACUUAUGUCUGCCUGAAUGGAACUGAGGUGAUGGAAGUUGAGAAGGCUUGAGAAAUUUCUACAGAUGGUUAUGGGGAACUUGGAGAAUUGAAGAAAACCAGUGGUUUAGAGUAAGGCCAUUUGCCAGAGGCGAAGGACAUCUGUGGAGAACAUGAGAAUUCCCUUAGAGAUCUCUGAAAGUAGAGGGGUUGGGUAGCCUUGUCACAACUUGCAGAUGGGUACUCAGAAUGCUUGCCAUAUGAAGGUAGCGAGACCUGACACUUUUGCCUCGAAAGCUGGUGACAAAAUGUUUAUGCCACCAGUAGCUGUGGUCUCCCUCUGCCUUACACUUCCAUAGGUAGCCCAUUUUCAAGACACAAAUAGAUGUCCAGAGAAGUACAUGGGUUUUCUUUCUCUUUCAUAGAACUUGGCCUUUGCUGUCCUGCCAGGCACUUAAGACAUUUCCCAUAGGGGAUGAGAACUUAGCUUCUCUAGGUGUCCCUUUCAGAUUUUCUUCUUGGGGUCCUGGAAGAGAAUGAGAGAGCCCUGUGUACCUCAGACCACAGAGGGUAAGGACUUUCUUUCCCAGGGCAGUGGGAUGACACUAGAGAAUGGGCUAGCAUGGGCUAGCCAUGGCUAUUUUAGGACAGUCAAGACUGCUUAUUAGCUUGGCCCUAUUUCUCUGGAUGAAGAAGUUGAGAAUUUGCCCUUUCUGUUCUAUGGGAACAACUGAAACACCCUGAACUUUGGAAACACUGACCUCCUCAGGUGAUUCUGGGUGGAUUUAGAGAACUUUUCUCAGCAGGACUUGAAACUUACUCUCCUUCAGAGUACUGUUGAGUCCUGGCAAAGUAGGUGGCCUGGUGGGCACAAAAACAGAGGGUCCCGAGUGCUCGUGAAACUGGAAAUGGAAUCUAGGGGAACACACCAUAUUAUGGGAGUCAGUCGAUAGACAAGACUUAACUCCAUUACUUUUCCCAAAAUGUACCAUACCGAAUGUGAAAUGACCAUGACGAUGUGGACUAUCUUCAUGAAAGUUUGUCUCCUCUUUCUGGGGCAUACUUCUGUGUGAGUCUCACUCCAAAGAGCUUUCAUUAUAACCGAUAAUGGAGAGGCGCUUUGACACCAGGAUGAGGUAUUUCUGUAUCUGAACAGCUUCCUUAAUCUUUUCAUUCUUGUAGGUAGGAUGUGAGAAUCAUCCUAGCAGGAUGUUAUAAAGCACUGAGGAUAUGUUAGCUUAACUAACUUCUCUCAUGAAUAAAAUCAGCUAAGGAAUGCUUAACCGACUUAGUUUCCACAAGCCACGCACUUCACUCUGUCUGAAGACCUGUGGGUAAAUUCAUAGCCUUAAAAAGUGUGUGACGCUUGGCGUUUUGUAGUCAGGCAGGGGCCAAUGGCAUGGAAAACUGGAAGUAGCUUGUGUGGUGUUGUUGUUGCCUGACAUGGCUGUGGUGGCUGCUUGGACUGCACAGAGUCACACACCCGUCAGUGAUGGGGACAGAGCUCCAGCCUGACCUCCUGACUCAGGCUGUGACUCACACACAUGCCGUUUUGUACACUACCAGACAAGCUCCCAACUCGAGCAUUCAGGAUGUUGCUGUAGAGUGAGAUGUAGGAGGCCACACUUGCACUCAGAUGUUUAAUUCCUAAGAGACGAUGUGUGAGAGAAGCACCGGACGCCAGGCUUCGAAUGCUACCUCAUGACUGAGAAGCAUCAUUCUGGCACACCGUACUCCCCUUGGUUGUCCCACUGAGAGUUAAUGAGGCACACGUGGCUUUGGUACUCAGAAAACCUUGACACACACUGAAUAUUUUUUUUCCCUGUUUCUCUUCUUUCUAGGCCUUUGUGGCAAACAGUAGAUGUUUAAAAACAAGCUAAUGGUACAUGCUGUGUUAGCUUCUUAUGGAAAGUUAUGGAAGGGAAUGAGAGAGAAGCUCUCACACAUAACUCACUCUAGAGAGCCCCAGUCACCCCCAGGAAAUGCAAACCCUGCUUCCUGGGCUCCCCUCUUAACGCCAGGUCAUCCCAAGGGACACCUGUUUUCCUCAAACCCACUUCCCUGACAGGUUGAUGCUGGCUGAACAUUUUGCAAGACCUGGGCUAGGUCUUGUUAAUUUCAUAUUAUCCCUGCCACCUACCCCGAGUUUCAUCAUGUUUAUUUAGUGAAUACACAGUAAAAAGUCUUAAAAAUGCCCCUGAUUAAUAUAUUUUGGCAGCGAGAAAGGAGACAAAUUAACCAAGCUUUUCCAAUCUCAUCCAAAGUUAACUCGCAAACUCCAUUUUAAGGAAGGGCUUCCUGUGAAGGCUGCCUUGGAAAGCAUUGUGGGCCAAUUCCCCAACCUGUAAUAAACUAUAUGUAUAAAGAUAGCAGUGUUGUUAUACAAUUUAAUUAGUGCAUCACUCAGACAUUUGGACCAAUGCCUGGCUCUUUUCCUGCACGUUCAUUCAGCUUUUAGUCUAACUCCCGCGUGAAAUAAACAAAAAGGCUAAUUGCUUUUGGAUUUUAGCACCGGGUGAAAUACCUGGAUUCAUUAUGUGAAUCAUAUUUUAUAGGUAGAUUAAAGGUUCUAUUGGCAAAUGAAAAAUUCUACGAUGACAGCUGUAACGUUCAAAGGCAAGGCAAUGGAAAGGCCCGUGCUCCCACAGGCAGCAUAUGGACCCAUCUGACAUGCUCCUGGUUCUCAUAGCAGGGUAAAUGUUUGCACACUGAUGAGGACAUUGCUCCUGGCUGGGAAGAAUUUGUGUCAUGGCUCUGAAGCAAUGAUGGGCUGGUAAAGGUUUAAGGAUUUGUGUCCAUCAGGAAAACAAAACAAAAAACAAACCAAACCAAAAACCAAAACAAACCCCCUUUUGUUUGUAAGUUCAGACCGCAGCUGAUCUUAAGGAGUGGGGACCUGACUCUCCCCAGUCCUCUAGCCAGUGCUUCCUGGGGCAUGAGGUGGAGGGAAGGCCUGGUUUCAGAGGCCAGAGCUUGCUUUUAAUAAUCUCUCCAAAAUACAGAUGUUGGUGUGGGGAGUUCUGGAGCGGACCCCUUGUGAGCAUGUUAGGACCCAGCAAACCGGAAUGCCUUCUCAGCUUCCUGAAGAACAAGGCAGGUGGAUGAAGAGGGGUUGCCCCUGACAGCCCUGCUCCUGACCUUGCUCAAGGAAGACCUUCAAUACCCACCUCCAUCUGACUGAGUUCUGUUAAGGAAGAUAACACUCACAUCUUUGGCUCUCUUCACGAGUGGAGUAAGCCUUCCAUUCUUCAAAGGGAGAACUCCCAGAAGCCAGCAGUGCCCUUGACAAAACCAGCUCAAACUCAAGCUGACAAGCACUUGACUGGGACCAUCACAUCAUUCUUCAGUGACAGGGUCCUGAGCAAGAGGGGCCGGGGAUCAGAGGUAAAGAAGAUAAAACAGAGUAAUGCAUUUGAUUUUGAUGAGGCCCAAUGAAAUACACAGGAGCAAACAAGGUCUUUGGGAAAACGAACUCAGAAUAGCUACUUCCAGCUCGUAUCCAAAGGGGAUAGAAUCAAGAAGAAAAGAGUCCGUGGCAUGCUCAGAAAUUUACUGGAAAGAGUCAAGCUGAGAAAACCAUUCAACUGCAAAGACACACUACCUUACCUGGGUGAGGAAGGAUAACUUGGAGAGGAACUGAGAUCCCAAAUUACAGAGCCAGGAACCAUGGAGGAUCCAAGGGACUUCCAACGUUCAGAAGAUGGCUUUCUCAAAUCAAGAAGACCCUCACCAGAACCUGCUGGUAGCCAAUGAGAGUUUCUAGGCUCUGAAACUGUAUUGUUGUGCUCGGAAUGCUGCAGCCUCCAUCUUGAGACUCCACCCAACACCAAUACAGGCAAGAGGAGCAGAGGGUGUCCAACUCCUACACAUGGGCCGCUAAACUUCCCCCAGCCAACCAAAAAGCUGGUUUUUAGUUAAAAAUACUGUCUGCUGAUAAAAGAAAUAAGGAUGAGUGUAUCAUUCAACCCUCAUUGGAGAAGCUUCCUCCUGCAGUAGAUGGGAAUUAGCAGAGACCAACAACUGGACAUAAGUAAUGAGUGAGAGACUUGGAGGCCCUCAGUCCCACAUGGGAGGUCUUCGUCAAAUUCCUUCCCUGAAGGCUUAGGGAGCUAUGUAGAUGAGGAGACAGAAAGAUCGUAAGAGCCAGAGAUGGCGGGUGAUUCCAAGGAACAAUGUCUUCCAGACACAACAGGACUGAUCUACAUGUAAGUUCACAGAGACUGUGAAGCCCACAAAACCUGCACAAGUUCAAACAAGACAAAAUCCCAGCACCGAGAAGGGGAAAUGGACCCAGGUAGAGUCCUAGCCCUAACUAAAGAGCUAUUUGCAAGUGAUGUUUACUGGGAAAGGGAAAAUCCAUUUUCUCUCGUGGAGUGUCACUGGGCAUAUCAGUCA